CUUGCAUACCCUUCCUUUCUUGCUGCGUCCCGUCAGUGCCUCUCCCGCUCUCCCUAACAACAGGCUUCUUUUGACUACCUGGCUGGCUGGCUGGCAGGAUGGCUGGUUGGCUUGCUGGCAAGGUGAUAAAGGAUUGAGAUGGAGUGCACCAGGACCCACAUGUGCUGAGGUUCCACAAGGCGGUGAUGUGAGGCGUGGCGUUCCACCGCAAGUACCCGCUGUUUGUCUCUGUGUCGGGCGAGGGGAAGAUCAUCGUGUCUCAUGGCAUGAUGUACAAUGACUGGCUGAAGGACCCAUUCCAGGUGCCACUAAAGGAGUUUCAAGGAUACUCCCAUUUCGAGGACCUGUGUGUGCUGGACGUAGCCUGGCACCCCUAUGAGCCCUUCCUCUUCACCUCAGGGGCCGACGCCACCAUCCGCCUGUGGCACUGAGGAGGCCAGACAGUACCUACUGCGCUGACUUGGAAGUCUCUUGGUGUGUGGAGGCUGUGACGACUGUGGCUCCAUAAACACUGGCCUUGCUGUGUUAGGGUGGGUUAGAUGAAAUGAAGGAGGAGGAAUGCCAUGUACAUACUAGUGAACAUACGCAACACAUGGUGGAUUUAAUGGAAAGGAAAAAAACAUGGACAGAAAAGGGGAAUGGGAUUAGGAAGGGGAAAAUGAGAGGAAAAAAGUUGCAAGAGAAAGAAGGGGAAGGUAAAUAGUAGGACAUGAAGAGUAAGAGGAGAAAAAGAGGGAAAUGAGGAGGAGGAGGAAGAAGGGGGAAGAGACUUAGUAUAGGACAUGAGAAGUAAGAUGAAGAAAAGAGACAGCAGGGGCUGUCAACAAUUAUGAUGUGAGCCUCAAUAAUAAUCCUUGAUAUGCACUUAUUCACAACUUCGUAGCGAGUGAGUGUCUUAAUGGCUUUCAUGGAUAGCGUUGCAAGUUUAUUUCCUUGCUAAUCGGGAGGAAAUCUGCCAGACAUCUAUCAAAAAAGCAAAGGAGCUCUGUCAUGCUUGGGAUGUAAGAAUUGACAGACAACGCAGAGUGAAGAAAAAACUGCCUGGUGAAACUGGUGAUGAUGCAGGCCUCUCAGCAGAAAAUGAGAUGCAACGUCUGCUAAAAGAUACUAUUGACAGAAUGCAUAAUGAAAUGGGCGAACGGUUCAUCAGAUUGCGUAACCUGGAUUCAAAGUUUGGCUUUCUUUUGGAUAUUAAGGAGUUGCUAUCUACAACCAAUGAACCAUACAUCAAAGAAAAGUGCAUUGAUGUGGCAAGUUUCUAUGACACUAACUUAGAUGGCUUGGAACUGUUCAGCAAAACUGUAGAUUGCAGAAUGCUGCUUAAGACACGAGAUGAUGUUCUGAUCACUAACCCACAGGAAUUACUUUGUUUCAUUUUACAAUAUGGGGAUGAAAGUGUUUUCCCGAACAUUUGAGUUGGCCUUCAGAUACUGCUGACCACUGCAGUAUCAAUUGCUAGUUGCGAGCGAUCAUUUAGUAAGUUGAAACUUAUCUUGUACCUUCGAACAUCUAUGGGGCAAGAAAGGUUGUCGGCUUUAACUCUACUAAGUGUAGAGCAAGAGAUCGCAAACAAAAUAAACUUUGAUGACGUGACAGAUAAAUUUGCAGCUGUAAAAGCUAGAAAGAUAAAACUGUAAAUACAUUGUAUCGUGCAUCAAUACUUGAUAUCCUACAAUUCAUUGUCAACCCUUUUCUUUGUUUUGAUUUUCUAUUAUCAAUAUCUGUCUAAUUAUCUUUACCCUCUAAUAGCUUUAUACCGUUUUAUUUCAUUGCAUAUGGUUGAUCCUAAGCAUCCAGCACUUUAAUCUUUUUGUUUUCAUUAAUUUGACGCAUGCUAAAACAUUCUUUAAAGAAAAGUAAGGUUAACAAUUAGUGAAGUAAUUCAUCUUUGUGCUUAUCAUUUUUUUUUCCAGGCAGUAUAACUAUUCAGUCUUUACCACAAAAUCCAUUUUUUUCUAAUAUUAACUUCUAUACUGGCAACAAAUUGUACAUUUUCAUGAUUUUCUUAGCCCCCUGUAUUUACUAAUGUUUAUCUCCUAUUUUAGUCUUAUUUAUUUAAUUUGCCAUUUGUCUUUAUUUAUUAAGAGUUACUGGUUACUGUGGUGCUUUUUUUCUACAUUUUAUUUAUCCAAUCAAUAUUUUGGA